GGACGUAAAUCUGGAGAGCGUGUCUGCGUAGAAUUGACACCACCGACGAGGAAAACCAAUAGGUAAGCUUUCAGGUAAAAGGACAGAGGAUAAAAG
rnacentral:ncRNA from 2 species